rnacentral:rRNA from 1 species
UACGUAGGGACCAAGCGUUGUUCGGAUUUACUGGGCGUAAAGGGCGCGUAGGCGGCUUAACAAGUCACUUGUGAAAUCUCCGGGCUUAACUCGGUACGGCCAAGUGAAACUGUCAAGCUAGAGUGCAGAAGGGGCAAUCGGAAUUCUUGGUGUAGCGGUGAAAUGCGUAGAUAUCAAGAGGAACACCUGAGGUGAAGACGGGUUGCUGGGCUGACACUGACGCUGAGGCGCGAAAGCCAGGGGAGCAAACGGG